GAUGAACGCUGGCGGCGUGCCUAAUACAUGCAAGUCGAGCGAACAGACGAGGAGCUUGCUCCUCUGACGUUAGCGGCGGACGGGUGAGUAACACGUGGAUAACCUACCUAUAAGACUGGGAUAACUUCGGGAAACCGGAGCUAAUACCGGAUAAUAUAUUGAACCGCAUGGUUCAAUAGUGAAAGACGGUUUUGCUGUCACUUAUAGAUGGAUCCGCGCCGCAUUAGCUAGUUGGUAAGGUAACGGCUUACCAAGGCAACGAUGCGUAGCCGACCUGAGAGGGGGAUCGGCCACACUGGAACUGAGACACGGUCCAGACUCCUACGGGAGGCAGCAGUAGGGAAUCUGCCGCAAUGGGCGAAAGCCUGACGGAGCAACGCCGCGUGAGUGAUGAAGGUCUUCGGAUCGUAAAACUCUGUUAUUAGGGAAGAACAAAUGUGUAAGUAACUAUGCACGUCUUGACGGUACCUAAUCAGAAAGCCACGGCUAACUACGUG
rnacentral:rRNA from 1 species